rnacentral:antisense_RNA from 1 species
GUGCUUGGCUGGGUGUGGAGAAGGAUCAAUCACAGCUGACUCCUCAGAGGUGACAGCCCCUGCCCCCUUAAAAACAAGAAAAGACCUAGCAGUGUGAAGCCAAACUGCACCCCCAGCCCCGGUGACAUGAGGAAACCAUGAGGCGCUCAGCCUGAGGUUCAUCGUUCAUCUCCUUCCUGCUUGGAAUCAGAAUGUCCUCACUGCUGAGUUUCUCCGUUUUAUGGGAUUACAUUAGUGGACAAAGGAGGAAGUCCCAGCCGGGAACACAGAAAGGAUAUGGAGAAAAUUAUUAUUCUGCCCAUACAGUCGUGGUGACCCAGAUGGGAUCUCUGGGACACCCUGCCUGCUCUACAAUUGGGAUCCCUGGAGAAGUGACAGAAUCUGGCAACAGCCCCCACCUAGGAACUGACUCAGCGCAAGAAGACAGCUUCAACUCCCUGUGAUUUCAUCCCUGACCAAUCAGCUCUCCUGGCUCACUGGCUUCCCCCAACCCACCAAGUCGUCCUUAAAAACUCUGCCCCCCGACUGCUGGGAGAGACUGAUUUGAGUAAUAAUAAAACUCUGGUCUCCUGCACAGCC